AUGGGUGUUUCAAGAUUGAUGGACGUACUAGCAGAUUCCAGGGAAGUUAUACGCAAUGAUGGCGUCUUACUACUUCAGGCACUAACAAGAAGCAAUGGUGCAAUUCAGAAAAUUGUUGCCUUUGAAAAUGCUUUUGAGAGACUUCUGGACAUUAUCACAGAGGAGGGGAGCAGUGAUGGAGGCAUAGUAGUCGAAGAUUGUUUGAUUUUACUCCAAAACUUGUUAAAAAACAACAAUUCCAAUCAAAAUUUUUUUAAAGAAGGCUCAUAUAUUCAACGCAUGAAGCCUUGGUUUGAAGUUAGAGAUGAGAAUUCUGGCUGGUCUGCGCAGAAAGUGACCAGUCUACAUCUAAUGUUGCAGCUUGUGCGAGUUCUGGUGUCUCCCACCAACCCCCCCGGGGCCACCAGCAGCUGCCAGAAGGCCAUGUUCCAGUGUGGCUUGCUGCAGCAGCUGUGUACCAUUCUGAUGGCCACUACAUUCUGACUGAGGUGAGGAGGACCAGCAAUGGUUAGCCAUUUUGUGUGUUAGGUUAUGUGCUCAUCUCCCUGAAUGUAACAGAGACAGUAUUGCUUCCAAGAGGUGUCCUCCUGUGGGCUUUAGAGUACAAUAGCCAGUGUCAGAGCCUAGCUAGUAGAUCCGUGUAGAAAGAUUUCUUGUUGAUUCUGUUGUAUAUAUGUCCUAGGUGUGCUCAGUAUGACUUAGGUUUUCAUAGUUAGAGGGAAAGUUUAUUUACAUUUUUGUCUCAACAUAUGCACAUUAAAAGUGCAAAUAAUAAAGUUUUGUAGCCAAAACAGCUGUCUUGGGCCACACUGCUCCCUGUGCAGGACAGUCUCACUCUCCUCACUCCUGUCACUCCCAUCACGAGCUAGAACUUACACUUAAGUUAUAGUCACAGUGUGUUGUGUUAACACCAUGCUAACACUGUUUCUGCUGAGCUAAGUAGAGCCCUGUGUCUAUGGGGGUGGAGUGGGUAUUUCUUUCUCUUCUAUGUAUUAUACUUGUAUUCUUUCAUUCUGCCAGCCUUUUGUGUAUCUGUAGAUAUAAUUGUCUCCUUACACGUCCUUUCCCGCUCACCUCUGGAAACCCUGUGCUCCUGCCCCAGGCUGAGCUUUAUCCUCAGUUCCUUUUCUGUCUCUCUCAGUGUGGCCUCCUUGGUUAUCUGGAUCUUGUAUCACCCCCCUACACACACAUACACACACAACUUCCUUCCUUGUCUUAUUGAAGUAUUUUCUGACUUCUAAUUCUUUUUAUUGUUUGUUUGUUUUGUUUUUUGAUACGGGGGAUCGAACUCGGGACAUCGUACUUGCAAGGCAGGCAGUGGAACCACUGAGCUAAAUCCCCAGCCCUAAUUUUUUUUUUAAUGUAAUCUUUUCUCUUUAGAAGCUUCUCAUAUGUUUUUAUUUCUGAUUUUCUAAAAUUUACUGAUGAUGUACUUUCUACGGAUCUUUUUCUCGUUCCUGAAUUAUUUUUGUCACUCACUUG
rnacentral:lncRNA from 1 species